rnacentral:rRNA from 1 species
UACGUAGGGUGCGAGCGUUGUCCGGAUUUAUUGGGCGUAAAGAGCUCGUAGGCGGUUUGUCGCGUCGGCCGUGAAAAUCUCCACGCUUAACGUGGAGCGUGCGGUCGAUACGGGCAGACUUGAGUUCGGUAGGGGAGACUGGAAUUCCUGGUGUAGCGGUGAAAUUCGUAGAUAUCGGGAGGAACACCGGUGGCGAAGGCGGCGACCUGGGUCAGAUACUGGACGCUGAGGCGCGAAAGCGUGGGAG